CCUACGGGAGGCAGCAGUGAGGAAUAUUGGUCAAUGGACGAGAGUCUGAACCAGCCAAGUAGCGUGAAGGAUGACUGCCCUAUGGGUUGUAAACUUCUUUUAUAUGGGAAUAAAAUGUUCCACGUGUGGGAUUUUGUAUGUACCAUAUGAAUAAGGAUCGGCUAACUCCGUGCCAGCAGCCGCGGUAAUACGGAGGAUCCGAGCGUUAUCCGGAUUUAUUGGGUUUAAAGGGAGCGUAGGUGGAUUGUUAAGUCAGUUGUGAAAGUUUGCGGCUCAACCGUAAAAUUGCAGUUGAAACUGGCAGUCUUGAGUACAGUAGAGGUGGGCGGAAUGCGUGGUGUAGCGGUGAAAUGCUUAGAGAUCACGAAGAACUCCGAUUGCGAAGGCAGUUCACUGGACUGCAACUGACACUGAGGCACGAAAGUGUGGGUAUCAAACAGGAUUAGAUACCCUGGUAGUC
rnacentral:rRNA from 1 species